rnacentral:lncRNA from 1 species
UCUAUAUCUUCAUAUCUCAGACGAAAAGCCUCAAGCUCUGGAGGUCAGUAAUGCAUGUUGGGAAGCUCAUGAUCCCAUUUACAUCGAUUCAGGUUGGUAAUGGACAUCACACCAUGUUUUGGAUCAACUGUUGGAUUACCGAUCCUAACCUCAAGACCAUUUUUCCUAUCUUAUAUUGGCUAGCUAUAGAUAAAGACUGCACCGUUGCUUCUUUCUUAAACAAGGAUAGAUGGUCUCAAAAUUUUAUAAACCUCUCACACCUAAUUGCUCAAUCAAAAUCUCUGGGUUUUAACAGGAAUGCUGAGAAACUUCAGGCUAUCGAACCAUGAAGACAAGAGGGCUCUGGAAAUGGUUCCCGAAUCAUGUAUAUCUACCCCAUAUCGGCCUGCUCUAAGUUUCUCAUCCAUGGCGGGGUGGUUUCCCAUUUCGGAAGGAUCAUUUGGAAGCUUCCAAUCCCUGAAAAAUAUAAAUUAUUCAACUAGUUAUGUUAUAACCAUAAGAUUCUUAUUGUCGAAAUCUUCGGAAAAAAAGGAUUUCACGGACAUAGCAGAUGUUCGUUUUGCUGUAAUGAUAAUAAAUCAAUUGACCAUAUCAUAUUGCUCCAGUGCAGUUACUCGGUAG